AUUUGUUAAUUAUUUUUUGAUUCACUAAUAACUGAAAACCAGUAGUGAAUACUCAGAGCCCUGCCCAGAUCUCUUCAAAUUAGGACUAUGAGAUGCAGAGUCUGAAUUGAUACUGACACCUAGGGGUCCAAAGCAAUAUUGUGGCCCCUUGUUAAAACAGAAUAAUGAAGUUCCAGAAUACACAGUCUGUCUGGAUACAUUUGGAAGCUGGAAAAAUGCUCAUACUGGUCUCUGACAAGUGGAGUUAAGAGCCAAUAGGAUAAGCCAGGUAGAA